GAUUGGAGACCCGAUCACUUCAGCUUUCAUGAGUGGAUUCUGCUGUGUUCUCCCUUAAAAAAUGCCUCCGGUUGGUCGAGACAGAUAGUACAUACACGACGGUGGAGCAGCCACCUUCUGCUGUUUUGAGCUGUCUGUCGAUGCAAGCAACUCCUCGUCAGCUUUGUCGUCGGAGUCAUCAGCUUCCUCGCCCAUGACCUGAGGGAUUCCAGAUCGAGGUUGGACCAUCACGCACUAUAAAGUGUAGUGGAGAUACAUCCCUAGCUAGCAGAAACGCCUCGGAAGCGCAAGUCGACGAAGCAGGAGAGGAGACGAGGAAGAGAGCGACCGGAGAAAGCCUGAAGAGAUAAAAGAGUUGCGUACCUUUGGUCAUGUGGAGGAUCUCGUGCUUAAAGGUGGCGGCUUUGCUCACCGGUGGCCACGGCGACCGUGGAGUGAUCGGCACAUGCUUGCACCGCUGCGUGCCACAGGACGAGCACAGCCUUACUGUGUGGAAUAGUUAGUACAGUUAAGAUAAAAAUAUUGAGGCGAAGUUACUUUAAAAUAUAUAUCAUAAGCAAUAAUUUUGUGAUUGA